rnacentral:rRNA from 1 species
UACGUAGGGGGCGAGCGUUGUCCGGAAUCAUUGGGCGUAAAGAGCGUGUAGGCGGCUUUACAGGUCCGUUGUGAAAACUCGAGGCUCAACCUCGAGACGCCGGUGGAAACCGUAAGGCUAGAGUCCGGAAGAGGAGAGUGGAAUUCCUGGUGUAGCGGUGAAAUGCGCAGAUAUCAGGAGGAACACCCGUGGCGAAAGCGGCUCUCUGGGACGGUACUGACGCUGAGACGCGAAAGCGUGGGGAGCAAACAGG